UCCCUUGUGGCUCAGCUGGUAAAGAAUCCACCUGCAAUGUGGGAGACCUAGAUUUGAUCUCUGGUUUGGGAA
rnacentral:tRNA from 1 species